rnacentral:rRNA from 1 species
GACGAACGCUGGCGGCGUGCUUAACACAUGCAAGUCGAGCGGUAAGGCCCUUUCGGGGGUACACGAGCGGCGAACGGGUGAGUAACACGUGGGUGACCUGCCCUCAGCUCUGGGAUAAGCCCGGGAAACUGGGUCUAAUACUGGAUAUGACUCCAUGACGCAUGUUGUGGGGUGGAAAGCCUUGUGCGGCUGAGGAUGGGCCCGCGGCCUAUCAGCUUGUUGGUGGGGGAUGGCCUACCAAGGCGACGACGGGUAGCCGGCCUGAGAGGGCGACCGGCCACACUGGGACUGAGACACGGCCCAGACUCCUACGGGAGGCAGCAGUGGGGAAUCUUGCGCAAUGGGCGAAAGCCUGACGCAGCGACGCCG